rnacentral:rRNA from 1 species
UUCCAGACUCCUACGGGAGGCAGCAGUGGGGAAUAUUGCACAAUGGGGGAAACCCUGAUGCAGCAACGCCGCGUGGGUGAAGGAGCGUUUCGGCGCGUAAAGCCCUGUCAGCGGGGAAGAAGAAAGACGGUACCCGACCAAGAAGCCCCGGCUAACUACGUGCCAGCAGCCGCGGUAAUACGUAGGGGGCGAGCGUUAGCCGGAAUUACUGGGUGUAAAGGGGGCGUAGACGGCUGUGCAAGCCAGAUGUGAAAGCCCGGGGCUCAACCCCGGGACUGCAUUUGGAACUGUGUGGCUGGAGUGUCGGAGAGGCAGGCGGAAUUCCUAGUGUAGCGGUGAAAUGCGUAGAUAUUAGGAGGAACACCAGUGGCGAAGGCGGCCUGCUGGACGAUGACUGACGUUGAGGCUCGAAAGCGCGGGGAGCAAACAGGAUUAGAUACCCGAGUA